UGGGGAAUAUUGCACAAUGGGCGCAAGCCUGAUGCAGCAACGCCGCGUGAACGAUGAAGGUCUUCGGAUCGUAAAGUUCUGUUGCAGGGGAAGAUAAUGACGGUACCCUGUGAGGAAGCCCCGGCUAACUACGUGCCAGCAGCCGCGGUAAUACGUAGGGGGCUAGCGUUAUCCGGAUUUACUGGGCGUAAAGGGUGCGUAGGUGGUCUUUCAAGUCGGUGGUUAAAGGCUACGGCUCAACCGUAGUUAGCCUCCGAAACUGGAAGACUUGAGUGCAGGAGAGGAAAGUGGAAUUCCCAGUGUAGCGGUGAAAUGCGUAGAUAUUGGGAGGAACACCAGUAGCGAAGGCGGCUUUUUGGCCUGCAACUGACACUGAGGCGCGAAAGCGUGGGGAGCAAACAGG
rnacentral:rRNA from 1 species